rnacentral:rRNA from 1 species
AGUGAACGCUGGCGGUAGGCCUAACACAUGCAAGUCGAACGGCAGCACAGUAAGAGCUUGCUCUUCCGGGUGGCGAGUGGCGGACGGGUGAGGAAUACAUCGGAAUCUACUUUUUCGUGGGGGAUAACGUAGGGAAACUUACGCUAAUACCGCAUACGACCUACGGGUGAAAGCAUGGGAUCUUCGGACCUUGCGCGAUUGAAUGAGCCGAUGUCGGAUUAGCUAGUUGGCGGGGUAAAGGCCCACCAAGGCGGCGAUCCGUAGCUGGUCGGAGAGGAUGAUCAGCCACACUAGAACUGAGACACGGUCCAGACUCCUACGGGAGGGAGCAGUGGGGAAUAGUGGACAAUGGGCGCAAGCCUGAUCCAGCCAUACCGCGUGGGUGAAGAAGGCCUUCGGGUUGUAAAGCCCUUUUGUUGGGAAAGAAAAGCAGCAGGUUAAUACCCCGCUGUUCUGACGGUACCCAAAGAAUAAGCACCGGCUAACUUCGUG